GAUGAACGCUGGCGGCGUGCUUAACACAUGCAAGUCGAACGAAGCACUUUAUUUGAUUUCCUUCGGGACUGAUUAUUUUGUGACUGAGUGGCGGACGGGUGAGUAACGCGUGGGUAACCUGCCUUGUACAGGGGGAUAACAGUUGGAAACGGCUGCUAAUACCGCAUAAGCGCACGGCAUCGCAUGAUGCAGUGUGAAAAACUCCGGUGGUAUAAGAUGGACCCGCGUUGGAUUAGCUAGUUGGUGAGGUAACGGCCCACCAAGGCGACGAUCCAUAGCCGACCUGAGAGGGUGACCGGCCACAUUGGGACUGAGACACGGCCCAAACUCCUACGGGAGGCAGCAGUGGGGAAUAUUGCACAAUGGGCGAAAGCCUGAUGCAGCGACGCCGCGUGAGCGAAGAAGUAUUUCGGUAUGUAAAGCUCUAUCAGCAGGGAAGAUAAUGACGGUACCUGACUAAGAAGCA
rnacentral:rRNA from 1 species